GGCUCAGAAAGAACGCUGGCGGCGUGCUCACACAUGCAAGUCAAACGAACCUUCGGGUUAGUGGCGGACGGGUGAGUAACGCUUGACAAUCUGCCCUCAGGAGGGGGAUAACGGUUGGAAACGACCGCUAAUACCCCAUAUGCCGAGAGGUGAAAAGAAAUUCGCCUGAGGAUGAGCUCGCGUCUGAUUAGCUAGUUGGUGUGGUAAUGGCGCACCAAGGCUUCGAUCAGUAGCUGGUCUGAGAGGAUGAUCAGCCACACUGGGACUGAGACACGGCCCAGACUCCUACGGGAGGCAGCAGUGGG
rnacentral:rRNA from 1 species